rnacentral:rRNA from 1 species
AGAGUUUGAUCCUGGCUCAGAUUGAACGCUGGCGGCAUGCCUUACACAUGCAAGUCGAACGGCAUCUCGGGCUUCAGCCUGGCACGCGAUUGGCGAACGGUGUGAGUAAUACAUCGGAACGUGCCCUGUUGUGGGGGAUAACUAGUCAAAAGAUUAUCUAAUACCGCAUACAACCUGUUGGUGAAACCGGGUGACCGGUAACUGCCUCACGCAAUAGGAGCGGCCGAUGUCUGAUUAGCUAGUUGUUGGGGUAAAGGCCUACCAAAGCAACGAUCACUAUCUGGUCUGAAAGGACGAUCAACCCCUCUGGGACUGAGGCACGGCCCAUACUCCUACAGGAGGCAGCACUGGAUAAUUUUGUACAAUGGGGGCAACCCUGAUCCAACAAUGCCGCGUGUGUGAAGAAGGCCUUCAGGUUGUCAAGCACUUUUGUCCAGAAAGAAAUCGCGCUGGCUAAUACCUGCCGUGUAUGACGGUACCGGAUGAAUAAGCACCGGCUAACUACGUGCCAACAGCCGCGGUAAUACUUACGGUGCUAGCGUUAAUCUCAAUUACUGGACGUAAAGCGCGCCCAUGCGGUUUUGUAAGACAGGCGUGAAAUCCCCUGACUCAACCUGCGAAUGGCGCUUGUGACUGCAAGGCUAUAGUGCGUCACACGGGGGUAGAAUUCCACUUGUAGCAUUGAAAUGCAUACAGAUGUGCAGGAAUACCGAUGGCGAACGCAAUCCCCUGCGACGAGACUGACGCUCAUGCACGAUAGCGUGUAGAGCACACAGGAUUAGAUAGCCUGGGACUCCACUCCCUCAUCGAUGUCCACUACUUGUUGGGGAUUUCAUAAACGAUGUCAAUUAGUUGUUGGGGAUUCAUUUCCUCAGUAACGUAGAUAACGCGUGAAGUUGACCGCGUGGGGAGUACGGUCUCGAGAUUAAAACUCAAAGGAAUUGACGGGGCACCGCACAAGCGGUGGAUGAUGUGGAUUAAUUAGAUGCAACGCGAAAAACCUUACCUACCCUUGACAUGCCACUAACGAAGCAGAGAUGCAUCAGGUGCCCGAAGGGGAAAGUGGACACAGGUGCUGCAUGGCCGUCGUCAGCUCGUGUCGUGAGAUGUUGGGUUAAGUCCCGCAACGAGCGCAACCCUUGUCUCUAGUUGCUUCGCAAGGGCACUCUAGAGAGACUGCCGGUGACAAACCGGAGGAAGGUGGGGAUGACGUCAAGUCCUCAUGGCCCUUAUGGGUAGGGCUUCACACGUCAUACAAUGGUGCGUACAGAGGGUUGCCAACCCGCGAGGGGGAGCUAAUCCCAGAAAACGCAUCGUAGUCCGGAUCGUAGUCUGCAACUCGACUACGUGAAGUUGGAAUCGCUAGUAAUCGCGGAUCAGCAUGCCGCGGUGAAUACGUUCCCGGGUCUUGUACACACCGCCCGUCACACCAUGGGAGUGGGUUUUACCAGAAGUAGUUAGCCUAAACCGCAAGGGAGGGCGAUUCACCACGUGUCAGGGUUCAUGACUGGGGUGAAGUCGUAACAAGGUAA